GCGAGUCCCAGAGAGCCCUGGGGACGGCCUGUGCUCCUAGCCCGCCUACCUGCCCACCCCAGGCUACAGCCCGGUGAACGGAACUGUGAUGCAUGAAAUGAGGGGGGAAAGACGGGUGAGGUCAUGAUGGCCUUGUUAACUGUUGGCAAAAAACAGGGAACAGAAAGGGGAAUGUCAGAUUUCACCUGUGAAUUAAUUUACUUCGUGGAGUGCUUGGAUUAAGCUGGCAGAUCAUCAGAACCACAUCAGCAUGAUCAAAGGCCAUAUUGUGUAUCAGGAGCUUGUAACCAUCUGGCAAUUUGCUGGUAUCCUGUAGGACUGCUUGCCUUGCAAAAUAAGUUAAGUGCUGAUUCACGAGGGUGCAAGCGAUGAAGAGCUCACUGCAAAAAGGAGCCCAGACUGCUUUACACAAGGAGACAAUAUGAGGCCUGGAGUGGUGCGGCUUCCAGCCCUUGUUGCCGUCUGCAUUAAGAACCUUCACUUUCUUCACUAGAUGCAGAAGUGGUGGGAGUCCGCUAUAAGCUUGCCUUCGUUUUUACUUCCUUCUGGCUUGCAGAGCUCAAACCAUUACACCAUUCAGAAGCUGGCUUUGGUAUUACUUCAAGUUAUUCAAAACAGUCACCACUUGCUGAGCCUCUAAUGUCUCAUCUGUUGAAUGGGUACAUUUCCUUCCUGAUCCUUCCACCUCUAAACUUGUCUAUUUCCAAGGA
rnacentral:lncRNA from 1 species